rnacentral:rRNA from 1 species
UCCGUGCUAGAAACGAUGAUGUUGGUCCCCGCACAUGUUAGAUGUGUCAAAAUAGAGCGCAAGCUCGUGAACCAUACCUGACGGUCCUGCCCGUCCUGGCGGAAAUGCCGGGGCGGUCUUCCGUGAAUCGAAAUUUCAAUAUGCGCGGGGGUGAAUCCUUUGCAGACGACUUGAAUGGGAACGGGGUGCUGUAAGCAGUAGAGUAGUCUUGUUACUACGAUCUGCUGAGCUAAGCCCUUGUUCUAUAGAUUUGUUCAAC